ACGCUUGCUUUUGGCCUGGUGCACAAAGAAUUGUACCAUGACGCUGAUCUAAUGGAUGAAGUCAUAAGGUGCCUCGGCCAUUUCUGGCCUAACCCCAAGGAAGGAAAAAUCUGCCAAGCUGAAAGUAAAUACAUAUCUUUGCCUGGGUGGCUUGAAGCAGUCAAAGAUUACGUCCUGCAGGAAAGCACAUCAGCGGAAAGAUGACUAGUAGCAGGUCCCUGGGAUAUCGCAGACCAACCAUUGCCCUUCUCCAAGACAAAUACCAGACAAAAAAAAAGACCUUUCACCUCAUGGAGCAGAGCAAAUGCAAGG